CCUACGGGUGGCUGCAGUGAGGAAUAUUGGUCAAUGGGCGCGAGCCUGAACCAGCCAAGUCGCGUGAAGGAUGAAGGCUCUAUGGUUUGUAAACUUCUUUUAUAUAGGAAUAAAGUGAGGAACGUGUUCCUUUUUGUAUGUACUUUGUAUAUGAGUCGCCUAACUCUGUGCCAGCAGCCGCGGUAAUACGGAGGAUGCGAGCGUUAUCCGGAUUUAUUGGGUUUAAAGGGAGCGUAGGUGGUUAUUUAAGUCAGCUGUGAAAGUUUGUGGCUCAACCCUAAAAUUGCCGUUGAUACUGGUUGACUUGAGUAUAUUUGAGGUAGGCGGAAUGCGUGGUGUAGCGGUGAAAUGCAUAGAUAUCACGCAGAACUCCGAUUGCGAAGGCAGCUUACUAAACUAUAACUGACACUGAAGCACGAAAGUGUGGGUAUCAAACAGGAUUAGAUACCCGAGUAGUC
rnacentral:rRNA from 1 species